CGUAGCUCAGUCAGUAGAGCAUGAGACUCUUAGGCUGGAUCGACAUUGAUCUGUAAAAACGUCAUUAAAUAUAACGCUAUAUAACUCUCAGUGCAAUUUUCCAUUACUGAAGGCUCGCUGCUCUAUAGCGCCCUGUAGUGUCACAUUUUAAUAACACAUUUUAAACAUUAUAGACAACCAGUGUAGAUCCGUUCUUAAUCUCAGGAUUGUGGGUUCAACGCCCACAUGGGCAAGA